UCUCUAUGGAGUUCCAACAGAUGGAGCUCAGCUGCGCAAUGUAAGGUGGGCCAAUACAUAAAUGUCCUUAGCAAAGAAUCUUUCAGGCGGAUUGCUUGUGGGCCUCCGUUCCUGAUUCCUGAGGUGAGCUGGCAAUCUUCAGAAAUACCGAGGCGUGUGUAAACAAGGUUAUUGGUGACUGCAGGGUGAGACCGCCUACAACGCCCCCAAACACGCCUCAGUGCAGAAUGUACUUGCAGAAAUUUGGCUGGCAGUUCAGAUCAUUCAGACACCAUCCUUGAAGCUUCAUUACCAGGGUAGAUGUGCAUCAAAGACCCCGACUGAGGACACAUCAGUGGACUCACCCAGUGGGAAUUAUCUCCUCCCCAAAGCUUCCAGUCCAGGGCUGGCUGCUCCGAGCUGGGCCAAUCAAUUUAUCUCCUGAUGCAUGUCAUUAUCCUUUUGCAUGUCUGUGCCAGAAAGUUUUGUAAAUGUGAACCUGGCGAAGCGGAAUCCUUUGCAAAGGAGAGUUGCAGGGAGCAACAAGGUCAAUGUCAGGGAGGCAGAGGGUCGGUGACCACAUGCUAAGAAGGGGUGGGGAGAGGUCCUCAGCUUUGCUGAAUGCUCUGCCAGGGAGUAGCCCUUUGCCAUUGAGACUC
rnacentral:lncRNA from 1 species